rnacentral:lncRNA from 12 species
GAAUCAUUUAUCUAAGCCACAAUGAUUCUGUACAUUAUAUGAACAUUACAGAGGCAAGCUUUCUUGAAGACUAAAAAGGAUUGCAAAAUGCAUAUGUGGUGUUCACCAGCGAUCUAAAGCUCACAAUCCUAUGGCAUAUAUAUAUUUAUAUACACACACAAUAAACAUAAUAAUAUUAAUAAUAAUUAUUAAUACAUAUUAAUAAUAAAUAUAUUUUAUAUAAUAUUUCAUGGGGUGAUAGAUGCAUUUCUCUAUCCAUAACAGCAUAUAGUGCAGCAGCAGUGACGUGCCUCACUCUCCUGUCCGUUACCUUGGAGCUUUCCCCCGCGCGCGCGCUAACACACAUAAUUUUCACGGGCUAUAGCGCCGCUCAGUGGAUUUAUCUUAUUCCUCUAUGUUCAGUUAUAUAGUUUAUUGGGACCUUGGAGAACAAACAGAAACGUCCUGUCCUUUGCCCGGUUCUUUUCUUGGUUGAAUGUCCGCAUUUGUAAUUGUCAUUAUGUCUAGUAACUAUAAUGACCCGCACAACUGUCAUUACGCGUGAUGUUUACGCCAAACGCGGGCCACGCGGUGUUUACUGACGUGUACUCACCAACACUGCUGGAUGCAAGAAUUAUUGUUGAAAAAUGAGUGUGUAACGCGUGACCCCUCAUUUCCCACCUCGCUGACACCCUCUUUUCUGCAUCUGAGCCUCAUCUUGCAGGAGAGGCAAUCCAAGCUUUUGCUAACUGCAGAUAUCGAAGAGGAAUCUUAAACGGGAGAAAUUCUAGUUAAAAAGAGCAAGAUGGAGAACUAUUGAUCCCUUAUCCCAAAGGUGUCCACCGUAUGCAGAUGUCCCAAAGGUGCACCAGAGAAGGCUCCAGCAUUUUGAAUGCAUCGCAACCUUUCAUACCUUUUCAACUGCAGGCGCAACACUUCAGCUAUUGAAGGUAAGUUUCCACACAAAUGGGGUCCUUCAGUUGGCCCUGACUGAACCUGGCAAUGGAGGGGCACCUUUAGAAUCUGCCGGCCCGGGCAUUGAAAGGAGAGAUGCGGUGCUCAAGUCAUGCAUCUUACACAGUAACUACAGUCACAGAGCCUUCAACCCUGCUGCAUUCAGCUAUAAUUGCCCCUGACAGCAGGGCAAAUCAUCAGCACAGGGAUGUGAUAAGCAUUACAGCCAGAUGACAGCUCACAGAAGUGUAUUAGCAACACUGUGACAUAUCGUAUUACCACUGUGAAUAAAAUAAAGCCAACUUGGAACACUGUUGCAGUCAAGUGAAGCCCUUCUUUUCUCUUUCCUGAGGGACUAUUAUGGUCCAUUUGCUGAUGCUGAUAAGUUGUCGGCCCCCUCCACCCGCCCAACUGUCACCUUGGAGUAUAAAUACACACUACGCAG